CUAACUUAAAAACAAACCAUUUUAAGAGUAUAAAUACUUGUAUAACCAGAAUUGGACGUAGUUUUGUGAAUGCUUUUGUUCAAUUCCUUUUUAGUUUCUAAUUUUCCUUUAGGUUUUUGCCCCUUUCUUCUCUGUUCAUUGUUCAGUCUGCUAUGUAAUUCAGGGUGACGAGGUGUGGGACUAUGGGGUUUGGAUUUCGGAUUUGAUGGGAGAAAUGGGUUUGGAUUCACAUUUCGAAUCUGCUCAUGGAGACGUCAUCAUUGCAAUUGUGGAGGGCAGCGCGUGCCCUUUGCGUGCCUCGGCACCUGCGCGCUCCUAGCGUCGGCCUCUAGGCUCUCCAUUCGUCCCGUCAUGAAACACGGACCAAGGAGUCUGACAUGUGUGCAAGUCAACAAGCGAGUAAACCUAUAAGGUGCAAGGAGCUUAUUGGUGGGAUCCCCCUUUGGGUUGCACCACCGGCCGACCCUGAUCUUCUGUGAAUGGUUUAAGUGAGAGCAUACCUAUUGGGACUCGAAAGAUGGUGAACUAUGCCUGAGCGGGACAAAGCCAGAUGAAACUCUAGUGGAGGCCUGCAGUGAUACUAACGUGCAAAUCGUUUGUCUGACUUGGGUAUAGGGGCAAAAGACUAAUUGAACCGUCUAGUAGCUGGUUCCCUUCGAUGUUUCCCUUCGAAUAGUUGGAGCCCACGGGCGAGUUGUAUCGGGUAAAGCCAAUGAUUAGAGGCAUCGGGGGCACAACGCCCUUGACCUAUUCUCAAAAUUUAAAUAGGUAGGACGGCAUAGCUGCUCUGUUAAGCCACGCCAUUGAAUCAAGAGCUCUAAGUGGGCCAUUUUUGGUAAGCAGAAUUCGCGAUGCGGAAUGAACCAAAAGCUGGGUUGCGGCGCCCAAGUGUGCACUAACCUAGAACCCACAAAGGGUGUUGGUCGAUUAAGACAGUAGGACAGUGGUCAUGGAAGUUGAAAUCCACUAAGGAAUGUGUAACAACUCACUUGUCGAAUCAACUAGCCAUAAAAAUGGAUGGCGCUAAAGCGUGCGACCUAUACCCGACUGUCGGGGCAAGGACCAAGCCCCAAUGAGUAGGAAGGUGCGGUGGUCACUGCAAAGCCCAAGGUGUAAGCUCAGGCGGAGUGCCCGUCAAUGCAAAUCUUGGUGUUAGUAGAAAAUAUUCAAAUGAGAACUUUGAAGGCUGCAAAGGGGAAAGGUUCCAUGUGAGCGACACUUGCAUAUGGGUUAGUCGAUCCUAAGGAAUAGGGGAAGCCCGUUUGAUAGCACUCUGUGCAUGUACUCCGAAAGGGUAUUAGGUUAAAAUUCCUGAAUCGGGAUAUGGCGGCUAAUGGCAAUGUUAGGGAAUCCAAAGACGUUGACAGGGGCCCUGGAAAGAGUUAUCUUUUCUAUUUAACAGCCUGCCCACCCUAGAAAUGACUCAACCAGAGGUAGGGUCCAAUGGCUGGAAGAGCACUGCACAUUGCAUGGUGUCCGGUGUGCCCCCGAUAGCCCUUGAAAAUCCGGAGGACUGAGUGCCUCCCAUGCCCGGUCGUACUCAUAAGGACAUCAGGUCUCCAAGGUGAACAACCUCUGGUCAAUGGAAAAAUGUAGGCAAGGGAAGUCAGAAAAAUGGUUCCACAACCUCGAGAAAAGGAUUGGCUCUGAAGGCUAGGCACGAGGGUCCCAGUCCUGAACCCGUCGGCUAUCAGUGGACUACUUGAGCUACUUCCGCGGUGAGAGUGGGUUGUCGCGUCUCGUUCGGGGGAUGAAUUGGGAACGGGCCCUUCGGGGCCUCUUCCUCGGGCAUCAAACAGUCAACUCAAAAUUGGUACAAACAAGGGGAAUUCAAUUGUUUAAUUAAAACAAAGCAUUGCGAUGGUCCCUACAGAUGUUGACGCAAUGUGAUUUAUGCCCAGUGCUCUGAAUGUCAAAGUGAAGAAAUACAACCAAGCGCGGGUAAAUGGCAGGAGUAACUAUGACUCUCUUAAGGCAGCCAAAUGCCUCGUCAUCUAAUUAAUGACACGCAUUGUAAUGACCCACCUCGUCGCUACGAUAUCACCACUCUAAACCGCAAUAAUUUCAAUUGUUAAAUGAAAACUCUGUUAAUUUUCUUAUGAAAAAUGAAAGUAAUUUUUUUUCUCGAUAUACAUUCACAAAACAACGCACCAUUACUUAAGUGAAUACAUAUAUAUAUAUAUAUAUAUAUAUAUAUAUAUAUAUAUAUAUAUAUAUAUAUAUAUAUAUAGGUAUUGUAACUCAGUAUACAUCAUUCACAUAAUGGAAAGUAAAUUUGUUCAUACAUAUAAAUUUAUAAUUUACAUCCUCAAUUCACAAAAAGAAUUAUGGAACCAGCUAUGGAGGAGUUGAUUAACAAAACACAACUCUUUCCCAAAAUCAUCACAACGUCAUCACGUCAGCUCGGCGGCUCCACAAAAGAAUCUCAUUUCUCGUACUCUAUUGUUGUCAUUCUGCUCCCACAAACAAAGGUUCACGAUUAUCACAGGUAAUAACCACAUGGUACAAAAAUUGCGAAGGGUGAGUUUAUUAUAAAAGAUAUCAAUACAAAAAUCAAAUAACCACAAUUAGUAAGAAAACAUUAACAAAUAUCAUAAGCUUACACAAACAUUCAUUAGUCCAACACACGCUCAAUG
rnacentral:rRNA from 1 species